rnacentral:hammerhead_ribozyme from 1 species
ACCCAACUGAUGGGUCCCAAACAGGACGAAACGUGCAUCCUAGAU